rnacentral:rRNA from 1 species
UACGUAGGGGGCGAGCGUUGUCCGGAUUUAUUGGGCGUAAAGAGCGUGUAGGCGGCCAGGUAGGUCUGCUGUGAAAACUCGAGGCUCAACCUCGAGACGUCGGCGGAAACCAUCUGGCUAGAGUCCGGAAGAGGAGAGUGGAAUUCCGGGUGUAGUGGUGAAAUGCGUAGAGAUCCGGAGGAACACCAGUGGCGAAGGCGACACGCUGGGCCGUACCUGACACUGAUGCGCGACAGCAUGGGGAGCAAACAGG